rfam:Punica granatum cultivar Dabenzi scaffold586, whole genome shotgun sequence.
GAAAGCUGUAUUCGAUGAAAGUCGUAUGUACGAUUUGGAGGGAGAUCUUUCAUUCAUAUCUUUCAAGAUCCACCCUGC